rnacentral:rRNA from 1 species
UUAAGCCUACGGGAGGCAGCAGUGAGGAAUAUUGGUCAAUGGGCGAGAGCCUGAACCAGCCAAGUCGCGUGAGGGAAGACGGUACUAUGGAUUGUAAACCUCUUUUGACGGGGAGCAAAAAGCGGUACGUGUACCGCAUCGAGAGUACCCGGAGAAAAAGCAUCGGCUAACUCCGUGCCAGCAGCCGCGGUAAUACGGAGGAUGCGAGCGUUAUCCGGAUUUAUUGGGUUUAAAGGGUGCGAAGGCGGACUAUCAAGUCAGCGGUAAAAUCGGGGGGCACAACCCCAUCCCGCCGUUGAAACUGG